CACGUAGGCGGUUAAGCAAGUCCAUUGUGAAAUCCCCCGGCUUAACCGGGGAACCGCAGUGGAUACUACUUGACUUGAGUACAGGAGGGGAGAGUGGAAUUCCAGGUGGAGCGGUGAAAUGCGUAGAUAUCUGGAGGAACGCCGGUGGCGAAAGCGACUCUCUGGUCUGUAACUGACGCUGAGGUGCGAAAGCUAGGGGAGGCAAACG
rnacentral:rRNA from 1 species